GACGAACGCUGGCGGCGUGCUUAACACAUGCAAGUCAAGGGGGCCCGCAAGGGCAACCGGCGAACGGGUGCGUAACACGUGAGCAAUCUGCCUCGAUGUGGGGGAUAGCCGGCCCAACGGCCGGGUAAUACCGCAUACGCUCUCUGGGUGGCAUCACCUGGUGAGGAAACAUUUUUGGCAUUGAGAGGAGCUCGCGGCCUAUCAGCUAGUUGGUGGGGUAACGGCCUACCAAGGCAUUGACGGGUAGCUGGUCUGAGAGGAUGGCCAGCCACAUUGGGACUGAGAUACGGCCCAGACUCCUACGGGAGGCAGCAGUGGGGAAUAUUGCGCAAUGGCCGAAAGGCUGACGCAGCGACGCCGCGUGGGGGAUGAAGCAUUUCGGUGUGUAAACCCCUGUUGCCCGGGACGAACAACUGGAUUUUUCCAGUCUGACGGUACCGGGUGAGGAAGCACCGGCUAACUCCGUGCCAGCCGCCGCAGUAAGAC
rnacentral:rRNA from 1 species